UUCCGGUUGAUCCCGCCGGAGAUUACCGCUAUCAGGAUUCGAUUAAGACAUGCUAGGUGAAUGUGGCUUGUCCGCAUGCCGAACAGCUCAGUAACACGUAGUUAAUCUGCCCUCAGGUCGGGAAUAACCUCGGGAAACUGGGAGUAAUACCCGAUAGGUUUUGGAUACUGGAAUGUUCCUAAAUUCAAAGCUCCGGCGCCUGAGGAUGAGACUGCGGUGGAUUAGGCUGUUGUUGGUGUAAUGGACCAACAAACCUAUAAUCCAUACGGGCGUUGAGAGACGUAGCCCGGAGAUGUGUUCUGAGACAAGAACACAGACCCUACGGGGUGCAGCAGUCGCGAAACCUUUACAAUGUCUUCACGGACGAUAGGGGAAUCCUGAGUGCCCUAGCAAAGCUAGGGCUUUUAUCUACUUCAAAAGGGUAGGUGAAUAAGCAGUGGGCAAGACGGGUGCCAGCCGCCACGGUAAUACCCGCACUGCAAGUGGUAAUCGCGUUUAUUGGGUCUAAAGCGUUCGUAGCCGGUUUAGAAAAUUCUUGGUGAAAUCCUGUGUAAAACAUAGGGCGUGCCAAGAAGGCUGCUAAACUAGGAACCGGGAAAAGCUGAGGGUACUCAUGGGGUAGGGGUUAAAUCCUGUAAUCCUAUGAGGACCAUCUGUGGCGAAGACGCUCAGCUGGAACGGCUUUCGACGGUGAGGGACGAAAGCCUGGGGAGCGAACGGGAUUAGAUACCCCGGUAGUCCAGCCGUAACGAUGCCCGUUUUGGUGUAUCAUUUUCCUUCUAGAAGUGACGUGCCGGAGCUGCCGUAGCGUAGCGUUUAAACGGGCCACCUGGGGGAGUACGGUCGCAAGACUGAAAUUUUUAUGCAAAUUUACAAAAAUUUGCUGAAACAGUAUACUUUAAGGGAAUUUGGCCGGGGAGCACCUCUCAAGGGGUGGCGGCCUGGCGGUUAAUGGAUUCACGCCCAGAAUCACUAUGCGGCCGCCUUGCAGGUCCGACCAUAUUGGGGAAAGCUCCCCAACGCGCUGGAUGCCUAGCCUGGAAUCAAAGGUACUCUAAACACCCAGCAAUCGAGACAAGGUUACGUGUACCUUGUGGACGUGUUACGUCUACACCAUGUCACGCAAUAUCCAUUUAUCGAGACUAGUGAUCCG
rnacentral:rRNA from 1 species